UAGAGUUUGAUCCUGGCUCAGGACGAACGCUGGCGGCGUGCCUAACACAUGCAAGUCGAGCGGGAGACUUCGGUCUCUAGCGGCGGACGGGUGAGUAACACGUGGGUAACCUGCCUUGUAGAGGGGGAUAGCCUUCCGAAAGGAAGAUUAAUACCGCAUAACAUUAUGCUAUCGCAUGAUAGAAUAAUCAAAGGAGCAAUCCGCUACAAGAUGGACCCGCGGCGCAUUAGCUAGUUGGUGAGGUAACGGCUCACCAAGGCAACGAUGCGUAGCCGGCCUGAGAGGGUGAACGGCCACAUUGGAACUGAGACACGGUCCAGACUCCUACGGGAGGCAGCAGUGGGGAAUAUUGCACAAUGGGCGAAAGCCUGAUGCAGCAACGCCGCGUGAGUGAUGAAGGCCUUCGGGUUGUAAAGCUCUGUCUUCUGGGACGAUAAUGACGGUACCAGAGGAGGAAGCCACGGCUAAAUUCGUGCCAGCAGCCGCGGUAAUACA
rnacentral:rRNA from 1 species